rnacentral:ncRNA from 1 species
CAGUACAAUCUGAUCAGGCUAUGCGUCAAGCAUGAAGCCGGGCCACCUCUUGGCAACAGAAAGUCGUUAUAACGCUAUCUGUGGGACAGU